rnacentral:tRNA from 1 species
GGAUGCGUACAACAAUGGUACAACAAUUAGGGGCUUAAAUUGGCUAUUAAGACGCGCUACAGGCCCUAUUAAUGCUAUAUUUUUAUUAUCGUUGUUGCUUAGUGGACUUCCUUCGGGAGGAAGGGGUCGGAGGUUCAAAUCCUCUCACACCG